rnacentral:lncRNA from 1 species
GCGGAAAGUCUUCGCUGAUGAGGCGUCUUUUAGGAUUACCAUUAAAUCCUUCCGCCAUGCCCGUGCCCAUGGCAUUAUAACGACAAACGAACAACAGAAUAAAAGAAAGGAAAUAAAUAAAAUUCACACAGCUGCAUUAAACAUCCUACGAGGAGAAAGACGGCGUCACUAUACAGUAUAUUGGUUCUUCUUUACGUCCAAUAUUAGUUGACAUAAUUAUAUAUAAGUCCCUCAUUAUUAAAUUCUACCGUCGUCAUGCUGAGGACACUCGACCAUAUUUUAAAUCUACUGCUGAUACUUUUUCCCAAUGGUUUAAUACAUUUCUUCAUUUUAAAAUAUACGAAUCCGUAAAAACCCGAUCAGCGUUCGAAAAACGUUUAAAGUGCCCAGGAAACGGAAUUUUCCCCUCAUUUUUUAUUGUUUUAUUAAAAGGUGCUGCUCAAAUGAUGAUGAAUGACUUUUACAGUUUAUUAUAAGCG